CCUACGGGUGGCUGCAGUGGGGAAUAUUGGACAAUGGGCGAAAGCCUGAUCCAGCCAUGCCGCGUGUGUGAAGAAGGCCUUCGGGUUGUAAAGCACUUUCAGUGGGGAAGAAAGCCUUGGGGCUAAUACCCUCGAGGAAGGACAUCACCAACAGAAGAAGCACCGGCUAACUCCGUGCCAGCAGCCGCGGUAAUACGGAGGGUGCGUGCGUUAAUCGGAAUUACUGGGCGUAAAGCGCGCGUAGGCGGUCUGAUAAGCCGGUUGUGAAAGCCCCGGGCUCAACCUGGGAACGGCAUCCGGAACUGUCGGGCUAGAGUGCAGGAGAGGAAGGUAGAAUUCCCGGUGUAGCGGUGAAAUGCUUAGAGAUCGGGAGGAAUACCAGUGGCGAAGGCGGCCUUCUGGACUGACACUGACGCUGAGGUGCGAAAGCGUGGGUAGCAAACAGGAUUAGAUACCCCAGUAGUC
rnacentral:rRNA from 1 species